CUCCAACGUUCCUGCAGUUGAAUCGAUGGCUUCUCCCACAUUCUUGAUCUCCAUGAUAGACGGAAGCUUAACUUCUGGGUGUGCUUCAAAAUGGACUGUUCCUAAAUCAACAGCUUCUACUUGGACUUCCUGGACAAGGAGAGCAGUACCAGGUUGAGAAAAAGUAGUUGCACUGUUGCAGUAUACUACUUUCUAGGUAAUCAAAAGAGAAGAGCAGAGCAUAUCACAGUGAUGCUGAUGCUUACCACAGCCCACAGGUAAUAGCCUAUGGAACUGUAACUUAUAUUUAUUUGUCCAUUGAGUUAUUUUCUUGAUCCCUUGAUCCCUUGAUCCUUGAGACAUAUACUGCAACACUAACCUAUUCUGCAUGUACCUUUUUCUUAUUCAAAUCAACAUGAAUAAAAUUUGAAAAGGAAGGCAUAUAAACUAAGUUUAUUAUAAACGACGAGAACAAGAUGAUUCUUCUUAUUUGGGUUCACUUCUUCCAUUCUGUAAGGAGAAUUCUUUGCUUUAGAAGAUUGCUUGUAACAACUAUAAAAGAAAUGAGUGCAGUGCCAUUCUACACAGUUUACUACAUGAAGAAGAAGAAUCCUUCGUGAUACUUAAUGGAGAUUAACACGUAGCAACUGUGGAAUGAGAAAUAAGUAUGUUGCAUGCAGGAAAACAGAAGCAAGCAAGUGAUGCAGAAGUUCAGAGACUAAGAGAACCAUUUCUUACCGUCCCAUCAGCUGCUUCUCGUGUUUCAUCUUCCAUUGCCAUCGCUCCAGAUCAGAAUGAGAAGAGGA